UACAGAGGGUGCAAGCGUUGCUCGGAUUUACUGGGCGUAAAGCGUACGCAGACGGUGGGCAAGGUCGGAUGUGAAAGCCCCGGGCUCAACCCGGGAACUGCGUCCGAUACUGGAGGGCUCGAAUCCGGGAGAGGGAUGUGGAAUUCCAGGUGUAGCGGUGAAAUGCGUAGAUAUCGGGAGGAACACCAGUGGCGAAGGCGGCGAUCUGGGAAGAUACUGACGCUGAGGUGCGAAAGCGUGGGGAGCAAACAGG
rnacentral:rRNA from 1 species